rnacentral:lncRNA from 1 species
AAAGUAUCUGUGUUUAAAAAGAUAGUAUAUGCAAAAUAAAACUGGAGGAGAAAAGAGCUUUGUCGAUUUAUAAGAAAUUCUUUACCCAGUCAGCCUUCUGCAUGAGAUAUACAGUAUUAGAACUAAAUGAAUUAUAAUUAAGUUGCACAUAACUGAAAUGGGCAAAUUCAAUUUUCUCUGUGUUUCAUUAUAGCUUAGCUGCUGCAAUGAUAGAUGGAAUUAUGACACCUUGUACAAGACCUUCCAGACAAAUGAGAAUAACAUCCAUGUUGUUACUGAGAUAUGAAAGUCAACACAACCUGAUACAAAAUGGUGAUGGUAAUGAAAGACCAGGAUACAAAGCUGCUGAGUAUUUAAUUUGCUUUUAGAUUCACUGGAGGAACCAGAGAUUGGCAAAGGAUGUUGUACAAAAGAACUAUCAAGUCAUUUGAAAGCCAAAAUCCAAGGUGAGCAAGCUGAAGGCAUGGGGUCAGCUCCAUUUGGGUUUGUGCAUAACAGUAUGUACCUGUGAGAUGAAAUCAUGACCUCCAGUGGAGGAAACAUUUGUUAUGUUCAAUGACCAUCAAUCAGCCUCACUCUCUUCCAAACAACUCUUCUGAUAUUUCCAGCAUCAGAAACACUGAUUUUUCACAACUUUUUUUUUUUUUUUUUUCCCCCCUGGGAAAAAUAUUUAAAUCACUCAGCAAAUAGUGGCUUCUCCAUGGAUUAUAUGGAUCUGAGUUAUGGCAUGAUUGGAUCAGAAGAUAUCAGGCUCUUUCUUUUACUACUUAAAAUAGAUGUGAAAGGCAAAAAAGCUGGAAAACCAACACUAGAGAUAAGAUGAAAGCAGGAGUGAGAAUGCAAACUCGUCUUUUCCCAUUCUAGAUGUUGAUUAGAUGGAGAGUGCCUGCUGAGGUUGAACAAACAACAGCCAUUCCUGGCUUUUAUUUUCUGCAGCUGGAUAAAGUUGAUUGCUAGAAAAUAACGUCAUGAAGUAUUUUCCUAUUUCAGUAGUUCCUUCAUUUUACUUCAGCCCUAAAAUAUUCAUAUAAAAUGCUGAAAGGUCUAAUGAGACAGUGGUACUUCAAUGUUUCUCCCGCUGAUGUCACAGAAUGGUUUAUUGAUUCUAUUUAACUUCUAAUUGGCUCACAUUAUUAAAUUACCAUCAUUCAGGCUAGAAAUUAGUUUAAAUGAUCAAUCAACAGAAAAUAAGGUCAAGAUUAUUAGUGACAGACUGGAUAAGCAGAUAAAUAGAUCAAUAGAAAGAAAUAAAGAUAGAUCAAUUAAAGUUUAGACUAAACGG